AGCGAACGCUGGCGGCAGGCUUAACACAUGCAAGUCGAGCGGGCGUAGCAAUACGUCAGCGGCAGACGGGUGAGUAACGCGUGGGAACGUACCUUUGGUUCGGAACAACACAGGGAAACUUGUGCUAAUACCGGAUAAGCCCUUACGGGGAAAGAUUUAUCGCCGAAAGAUCGGCCCGCGUCUGAUUAGCUAGUUGGUGAGGUAACGGCUCACCAAGGCGACGAUCAGUAGCUGGUCUGAGAGGAUGACUCAGCCACUAGUUGGGACUGAGACACCGGACCCAAACUCCGUACGGGAGGCAGCAGGU
rnacentral:rRNA from 1 species